UACGUAGGUGGCGAGCGUUGUCCGGAUUUACUGGGCGUAAAGAGCGCGCAGGCGGUCGUGCAAGUCGCGUGUGAAAGCCCCCGGCUCAACUGGGGAAGGUCACGCGAUACUGCUCGACUGGAAGGCAGGAGAGGGAAGUGGAAUUCCCGGUGUAGUGGUGAAAUGCGUAGAUAUGGGAGGAACACCGGUGGCGAAGGCGG
rnacentral:rRNA from 1 species